CAGUUUCCUGUUUAUUUCAUUUGCAUACGUGACUAUGUCUGGCUAUUGGGUUUCUUGAUCACUUACAUCAACUACUUGAGCGUCCUCGCUUUCAGUCCCCUGACUGUAGAUACUGUUGUUUAUGAUUGGACGCACUGGUUAAGGUUAACAUCAGAACCACGAGCAUGAGCUUUGAACUCAGAAGUAUGAUAGAACAAGUCAG
rnacentral:lncRNA from 1 species